rnacentral:rRNA from 1 species
UACGUAGGGUGCAAGCGUUAAUCGGAAUUACUGGGCGUAAAGCGUGCGCAGGCGGUGAUGUAAGACAGGUGUGAAAUCCCCGGGCUUAACCUGGGAAUGGCAUUUGGGACUGCAAGGCUUGAGUGCGGCAGAGGAGACUGGAAUUCCUGGUGUAGCAGUGAAAUGCGUAGAUAUCAGGAGGAAUACCGAUGGCGAAGGCAGGUCUCUGGGCUGACACUGACGCUCAUGCACGAAAGCGUGGGGAGCAAACAGG